GCCCCGUUCGUCUAGCGGUCAGGACGCGGCCCUCUCACGGCUGAAACAGGAGUUCGAUUCUCCUACGGGGCG
rnacentral:tRNA from 1 species